rnacentral:rRNA from 1 species
UACGUAGGCAGCGAGCGUUGUUCGGAGUUACUGGGCGUAAAGCGUGCGUAGGCGGUUUUGUAAGUUUGGUGUGAAAUCUCCCGGCUCAACUGGGAGGGUGCGCCGAAAACUGCAAGGCUGGAGUGUGGGAGAGGUAGGCGGAAUUCCUGGUGUAGCGGUGAAAUGCGCAGAUAUCAGGAGGAACACCGGUGGCGAAGGCGGUUCUCUGGGCCUUACCUGACGCUGAGGAGCGAAAGCGUGGGGAGCAAACAGG